rnacentral:rRNA from 1 species
UACGGAGGGUGCGAGCGUUGUCCGGAAUCACUGGGCGUAAAGGGCGCGUAGGUGGCGCGAGUAGUCAACGGUGAAAGCCCGGGGCUCAACCCCCGGGUCGGCCGUCGAUACUCUCGUGCUUGAGCACUGUAGAGGCAGGUGGAAUUCCGGGUGUAGCGGUGGAAUGCGUAGAGAUCCGGAAGAACACCGGUGGCGAAGGCGGCCUGCUGGGCAGUAGCUGACACUGAGGCGCGACAGCGUGGGGGAGCAAACAGG